GUAUUGAUUGCGUGUGACCGCAAAAUAAAUAAAUAAAAAGAACAUUCUACACUGUAUCAAGUUUUAUGUGAAAACGCAAGCCCUCCUGCAAAGGGGGGCCCACGCGGUGAUGCACAAAAGGGGUGAGAUGGAUUGUGUGAGAGUGCUCGGGCGUGCACGACCUUUGAGGGUCAGCGACAGCCCUUGCACCUCCGUUGUACGAUAAUGAUCCUUCCGCAGGUUCACCUACGGAAA
rnacentral:misc_RNA from 1 species